GAAUGAGUGGCGGAAUAGGAAAGAGCGCAUAAAACCCGACAUUAAUUGUCAGUGAUGAGAGCGGGGGAAGACUCAUGCGCAAGUUGAGACGAUGAAAAAGCAAUUCUACACUCAUACUACUACCAGCCAGUGUCAUCGGCUCUAUC
ensembl:ncRNA C09H10.16 ncRNA